UAUAAAAAAUCUCCUCCAUGAUUUUUCCUGAAGCCAUCUUCACAUCCUUCUGAGCUAACUAAUUUAGCUAUCAUUACAAUCUCUACUAGUUUCUGUCCAAAAACCAAACUUGCCAGACAUGAGCAUAUCUUCUUCCACUCCUUAUCUCUCACCGAUACCCAGCAAAACCACAGCACUCAACUCUCAACAAAAACAGCAGUUAAGAAAACCUGAUCAUGCCAUUUCUCUUCUCCAAAACUGCAAAAACCCUAAAGAUCUAAUACAACUACACACCCUUCUCAUAAAAACCUCUCUUAUCAAAGAAAAGUAUGCAUUUGGCCGUCUUUUAUUGUCAUUUGCCUCAUUUGACAAUCUGGGCUCUCUUAAUUAUGCUCAAAAACUGUUUGAUACUGUUGAUAUCCCAAGAAACUCAUUUAUGUAUACUACCAUGAUAAAAGCCUAUGCAAAUUUUGGUAAUCCAAGGGAGGCAUUUGCUUUUUAUUCAAGAAUGUUGUGUGAUCAGCAUUAUGUGUAUCCUAAUGAUUUUACCUUUACUUAUGUGUUUUCUGCUUGUUCUAAGUUUAAUGGUGUUUUUGAAGGCAAGCAGGCUCAUGCCCAGAUGAUAAAAUUUCCUUUUGAGUUUGGUGUUCAUUCUUGGAAUUCUUUAUUGGAUUUUUAUGGGAAAGUAGGGGAGGUGGGGAUUGUGGUCCGUCGAGUAUUUGAUAAAAUUGAGGGUCCUGAUGUUGUUUCUUGGAAUUGCUUGAUUAACGGGUAUGUGAAGUCAGGAGAUUUGGAUGAGGCACGAAGGCUUUUUGAUGAAAUGCCUGAAAAAGAUGUUGUGUCUUGGACUAUAAUGCUUGUGGGUUACGCUGAUGCUGGUUUUUUGAGUGAGGCAUCUUGUUUGUUUGAUGAAAUGCCGAAAAGGAACUUGGUUUCUUGGAGUGCAUUGAUUAAGGGUUAUAUACAAAUUGGUUGUUAUAGUAAGGCUUUGGAGCUUUUCAAGGAGAUGCAAGUUGCUAAAGUUAAAAUGGAUGAGGUCAUAGUAACGACUUUGCUCUCUGCAUGUGCUAGGCUGGGGGCUUUGGAUCAGGGUCGUUGGCUCCACAUGUAUAUAGAUAAACACGGGAUCCAAGUUGAUGCCCAUUUAUCAACAGCUCUGAUUGAUAUGUACAGUAAAUGUGGGCGAAUUGACAUGGCCUGGAAAGUUUUUCAAGAAACAGGGGAUAAGAAGGUAUUUGUGUGGAGUUCUAUGAUUGGUGGGCUGGCAAUGCACUCGUUUGGGGAGAAAGCUAUUGAGCUCUUCACCAAGAUGAUAGAGUGUGGAAUUGAACCGAGUGAAAUUACAUACAUCAAUAUUUUAGCAGCGUGUACUCAUUCAGGUCUUGUUGAAGUUGGGCUGAAGAUAUUUAAUAGAAUGGUGGAAAAUCAGAAACCAAAACCAAGAAUGGAGCAUUAUGGAUGCGUUGUAGAUUUAUUAGGUCGUGCAGGUCUGUUGUAUGAUGCAUUUCGGGUUGUUGAAACAAUGCCUGUGAAAGCGGAUCCAGCUAUAUGGAGAGCCCUCCUCAGUGCUUGUAAACUACACAGAAAUGUCGAGCUGGGAGAGCAAGUUGGGAGGAUUUUAAUUAAGAUGGAGCCACAAAAUGACAUGAACUACGUGCUUUUCUCCAGUGUUUAUGCAGCAGUUAAUAGAUGGGAUAUUUCUGGGAAGUUGAGGAGAGAGAUGAAAGUACGAGGUAUGCAAAAAAAUCCUGGAUGCAGCUCCAUUGAACUCAAUGGUGCAGUCCAUGAGUUUGUUUCUAGAGACCAUUCUCAUCCCCAGAGUCAAGUAAUUUAUGAGUUGUUGCAUAUAUUGACCAAUCAUAUGGUGCAAGAAGAUCAUGAACCAAUGAUGACUAUCAUGGCUGAGAACCAGGGCAUUCGGUGAAAAGAUGGAAAUCUACGUCCCACUGUUAGUUGCAAGCAAUGGACAUAUAUAUGGUGCAAGAUGAGCAUGAGCUGAUGACGAUUGUUGCUGCUGAGAACCGAGAUACAGCUGGUCAAAACACCCAGAUAGUGCCCUAUAAAUUUGUUUGCGAUGCUCGUGUUUCAAGUUUUGGGGUGAAUAUGCCAUUAUUGGGGUUGGUGACCAAAUGAUUAUAUUCCUCGAAGACAUUUUUUCCACACGCCCAUUAAGAAUUUUAUGGAGUUUAUUGAUGAGUUUCAAGAAAGGCAUGGCUUGGUGACCAUCAUAUAAACUUGACAAGAGGAACUUGAUUACUAAUAAUUGUUCAGGAACUGCAUCAUUGCAAAUGGUGUUGAAAGGAGCUUUACAAGAUGCAAGUCAAAAUAUGUGCUUGUACUUUGCCCAUUUUAAGUAGCUGGUGGGGGUAAAUUUAACCGAGGCAAGACCUUUAUUGAGCACAUAAAUCGCAGAUACACGAGUGAAAAUUUCGUAUGGAAAAUGAAAAUUAACAUUUUCAAAUGCUUAAGUGAUGGAGGGAACUCAUAUGCUAGAUGGAUAAACAGAGGAUUCAGGGCACGAUGAAGGGCAAAAAAUAGUAUUUUUGCUUGCCAAUAGUCAAUUCUUCAAUUGUGUUCCCAUGUUGAAGGACUUGACAACCUUAGAUAUCAGAACAUUAGCUAAGUAGUUAGGUGGAACAGGGCCAUUGAUUCAAUGACAAUUGGUCUUGAAAAUUUUUACGUGCAACAGUAACUGAAUUUAUGACGUCAUCGGUAGGAUGAAAGACUGAAAGAACUUCAAAGCCUUGAAGCUCGCUAGGAAUUUGUAUAUUGGUUAGUGGCAACAUUUUCAGUCAGUAUAUCUUAUUAAUUUGGGGUAUUUAUAGCGUCUUCGCCAUUUAUUAAUCCUUAAUUUGGUCUCUAUAAAAGGUCCUAAGAGAAUUCGUUUGUAUUGAUAUAUGAUGAGUCCUAUA